rnacentral:rRNA from 1 species
UGGGGAAUCUUGGACAAUGGGGGCAACCCUGAUCCAGCCAUGCCGCGUGAGUGAUGAAGGCCUUAGGGUCGUAAAGCUCUUUCGCCUGUGAAGAUAAUGACGGUAGCAGGUAAAGAAACCCCGGCUAACUCCGUGCCAGCAGCCGCGGUAAUACGGAGGGGGUUAGCGUUGUUCGGAAUUACUGGGCGUAAAGCGCACGUAGGCGGACCAGAAAGUUGGGGGUGAAAUCCCGGGGGCUCAACCCCGGAACUGCCUCCAAAACUAUUGGUCUAGAGUUCGAGAGAGGUGAGUGGAAUUCCAAGUGUAGAGGUGAAAUUCGUAGAUAUUUGGAGGAACACCAGUGGCGAAGGCGGCUCACUGGCUCGAUACUGACGCUGAGGUGCGAAAGUGUGGGGAGCAAACAGGAUUAGAUACCCUGGUAGUCCACGCCGUAAAACGAUGAGUGCUAGUCGUCGGCAGGCAUGCCUGUCGGUGACGCAGCUAACGCAUUAAGCACUCCGCCU